AGUUGCCUUCCCCGCUCCCACCCCCAAAUUUUACCCUAAUUCCCAAACUUUUUUCUCACUUCAGUUUACCCUAAGCUCCAUGGAUUGAAUUUCGUCACAUAUUAACGGUGCAAAAGGUACCAACAUUCUUCCAUAUUGAUUCAAUUGCUUUAUUUUACUUCUUUUUUGACGAGAAUAGACUCAGUUCCCUAGAAAAAAAGAAAAAUCUGAAUCUGUAUGUUGCUUUAUUUUACUUCUAUAUAUGUAUGUUGCUUUAUUUUACUUCUAUAUCUGUAUGUUUCUUUAUUUUAUUUCUUUUUUGGUUUCAUCUUUUAGAGUUAAAUGUAAAGAUUGAAAAAUUUCUUUUGCGUUCUAUUCUCUGUUCUUUUUCAUCACUAUGUGAUUGAAUUCUAUUCAUUUGUUUGUUUUCAUCAUUAUGCAAUUGAAUUAGUUUUACUUCAUCUUUAGGUAAAGAUGUCAAUGGAAAGUAUUGAUGAUUCUUGUGAACAAAGCUCUUCAACUACGCUAAAACGAGUAAAAAGACAAACGUCUACUGUUUGGGAUUCUUUUGUUAAGGUAGAAGAGCCUAGUAUUCAUAGUGAUGGAAAGUUUAAAGUCAAAUGUACUCUUUGUGAAAAAGACUAUAUGUACGAUUCUAAAUUUGGAACAUCGAAUUUGAAGUGUCAUUUGCUGAUAAAACAUCCACUGGAUAAUGCAAAAGAGGGACAAAGUGCACCAAUAGAUCAAAAAAUUUAUCGAGAGAAAAUGUCAUUGGCCAUAGUCAGGCAUAACUAUGCUUUCAGUUUUGUAGAACAUAAAGGCAUCAGGGACCUUCAUUUAUACUUAAAUCCCGUUGGCAAGCACAUAUCAAGAAACACAACCAAGUCAGAUAUCUUGAAUAUGUAUGCAGGCGAAAAAGAGUAAACCUUCAUUUAUACUUAAAUCCUGUUGUCAAGCACAUAUCAAGAAACACAGCCAAGUCAGAUAUCUUGAAUAUGUAUGCGGGCGAAAAAGAACUUUUGAAAAGUGAGCUUGCAGUUAUUCCUAGUAGAGUAUAUUUAACCUCAGACAUGUGGACUUCAUUAACAUCUAAUGGGUAUAUGUGUGUUACGGCCCAUUAUGUAGAUUUAAAUUGGGUUCUUCAGAAGAGGGUGUUGAUUUUUCGUCAUGUUCCUCCUCCACAUUCGGGCGCGGUUUUAGGUCCCUUAUUGAUUAGCUUUCUUAAAGAAUGGGGAAUCGAAAAGAAAAUCUUCACCCUUACUAUGGAUAAUGCUACUUGCAAUAAUGGUGUAGUGGAUAAUUUAAAGAAUCAUUUGUCUUUGAUGUGUUCACUAGUUUGCGAGGGAAAGUAUCUUCAUGUCCAUUGUGGGAAUCAUGUUUUGAACUUAAUUGUUAAGACGGGCUUAGAGAAGGCUGAUGCAGCUAUUGCAAAAAAGUAGAGGUGUUAAGUAUAUCAAGAAUUCAGAAACAAGAAUAAUGAAAUUUGUGGAGUGUCUGAGUAAUCUUGGUCUACCAUGUUCUAAGAAGCUACGCCAAGAUAUGCCUAUUAGGUGGAUUACACUUAUCAAAUGCUUGAAAGUGCUCUUCAAUAUCAGGAAGCUUAAAUUCACUAUAACUUGCUUGACAUUGAUUUUAAACACGGGCUUUCUGAAGAUGAAUGGAAAAGGGAUCUUCAAUAUCGGGAAGCUUACAUUCACAAUAACUUGAUUGACAUUGAUUUUAAACACGGACUUUCUGAAGAUGAAUGGAAAAGGGUCGAGUUUAUAGCUAAGUUUCUUAAACCAUUUUAUGACAUUACGACUUUUUUUCUGGAUGUAAGUAUCCCACGGCUAAUUUGUAUCUUCCUAAUGUAUGGAGAAUUGAAAUAUUGUUGGAAGAAAAAAAAUAGUAGAGAUUCAGUGAUGAGUGAGAUGGACACUUCAAUGUUGGUGAAGUUUAAGAAAUAUUGGGAGUCAUAUAGUGUCAUUUUAUCUAUAGCUAUUGUCCUGGACCCUCGAUACAAUUUGAAGUUUGUGAAGUUUGCUUUUUAAAGCUUCAUCCCGAGGAGAUUGCUAAUGAAAAAGUAAAGGUUAUUGAACAUAACCUACAAUUGUUGUUCAAAGAGUACUUAAUACCUUCGACUAUAGCCUCAUUAUUAGGGGAUCAUGCUUGUAGCAGUGGUAGAAAUGAAUGAGGGAUGCAUUUGGUGAGUUUGAUGAAUUUCAGAGUCAAUUGGAGUCCAGUACAGGCAAAACACAACUAAGGGAUGCAUUUGAUGAGUUUGAUGAAUUUGAGAGUCAAUUGGAUUCAAGUACAGGUAAAACACAACUAGACCCUUGACCGUAAAACAAAAUCGAAUCUAGAUGUACUUGGAUUUUGGAAGGAUAGCAGGCAUAGAUAUGCAAAACUCUCAUCAAUGGCACGAGAUGUUUUGAGUAUUCCUAUCACCACAGUAUCUUCUGAAUCUACAUUUAGCAUUGGUGGUCGUGUCAUUGGAAGGUUUUGAAGUUCUAUUAUUCGCGACAAUGCUGAGGCAAAGCUAUGUACUAGGGCUUAGGUCUGUGGAAGAGAAGGUAAAUUAAUCUUCUCUAGCUUGAUUUAUUUUAUGUUUUUAAUAACUAAUAAGUUGUAAUAUGUUAUUUUUUUCUUCUUAAAUUGUUUAAGACCUUGAUGAUGGAUCCGACUUUGAAGAUGAUGAUGAGAUUGUUGUUGAUCUUCAACCUUAUCUUGCGAAACGUAGAGGUAAAACCUUAUCAGGCUUGGGAUUUUAAGCUGUUUCUCCUUCUGAGAACUUGAGCUUUGAAGUGAUUUUUUCUGGUGAGUUUUCUGGGAUAUUAUAUUUGUGUGCUUUUUGUUCAGUUGUUGCUCUCAUUAAAUGGAAAGACUGCCUUGACAUAUGGUUUAUUGAGAAUUGUCUUUGCUGGAAACUCUACUUGACAUAUAGGAGACAAAAGUGCUUAUUUUCAGUUGAAUAAGCAUUUUGUGCUUCAAGAUUAAGAAUUCAGUGGCUCUUCCUAUAGUUUUCCUCCCUUUCCUUCUAAUAGUGGCUCUUCUCUAUGCUAUACCAGUUUACUGGCUAGUCAGAUUAAGGCACGACCAGUGCAUUCACGUACUAUACUCUCGUGUCAGCACUAGUGCCAAAUUUCAUCCUUGGAAUGUCAUUUAUCGGUUGUCUCGUAGGUGCAUAUUUCCUGUUCUCGGGGUACUUUAUAUCGAAGGAAUCAAUUACCGUUUUCUAGCUAUUUUGCACUAUGUGAGUCUGUUUAAGUAUCCAUUUGAGUAUUUCUUGAUCAAUGAGUAUGGAGGAGAGAAUGGUAAAGUGAAGUCUAUACAGAAAGUUGAUGGAGUUUGCUUUAAUAUAUGGUGAACAGUUAUUGGCGCGACGCAGUUUAGAGGAGUGACAGAAGUGGUAUAACAUAAGUAUUAUGUUAAGUUUCAUCUUUGGUUACAGGUUUUUGUGUUUUCUGAUUCUCUGGCAUAGUUCUAUCAGAAAUAAAUGUUGAAAUGACUAACAAAAUUUCCUUUCAUCUAUGAAAAUCUUAGUACAUUAGUUUGAUUUCUUUUAGAAUUUUCCAUAUAUUACAACUUGUAUAGCUCCUUGAGGAUUUGAUCAUCAUUGGAUGAAGGGGGAAAUAAUACUUCUAUAGGAGACUAAAGUGCUUAUUUCCAGUUGAAUAAGCACUUUGUGUUUCAAGAUUAAGAACAUCAGCUAUUUUGUGAACAAUUAAGAACAGAAGAAAUGUAGGGGUUGUACCGAGGAGAUAAUGAGUUUGUUUCAAGAUUCAAAGAUGACUGACAAUUUGAACACUAGUUAUCCAGAAAAAAAGAAGAAAAAGACAGUAAUAUUAAUAUUAUAUACUAUUACGUAGAAGUUGGCAAAGUAAAGGACAUUGCAUUAUUACUUUCUUAUGUGACAUAGCUAGCAUUCUGCUUGCUGGAUCAUAUUUUGUUUCGAUUCUCCCUUUGUCAAGUUGACCACGUGUAACACUCAUUUCCUUUCUCCCCGUGUCCGGUAUUUAUAUUCUAACUUUUCAACAUCUUCCUCCGCACAUUCAUUAAUGAACUUUCUUUCCAGCAUUUUUGCUACUUGUAAGCACAUUUGAUGGAUUACUUAACUCUCUAUUAUCCAGUGAGAGGGAUGAUGUAUUGAUGUUGCCAUGGCUGAAUCAUGUAGGUAGAAGUAGAUUAUGUUAGUUAUCUCCUGAUUGUUGUGAUGACGUCUUAUCUCAACUUUGUUAGGAUUUAUGCCCGUCACUAGAGGGGGGGUGAAUAGUGAGGCACGAGAAUGUCGGUAAAUUUUGCGGAAUUAAAAUUGCAGGAUUAAAGUAGGUGCAGUAAUUAAAAGAGUAAGAAGAGGACACACCGAAUUUAUACUGGUUCGCCACAACGUGUGGUUAGUCCAGUCUCUCGAGAGACUCUCUCGAGUUUACACUAACUCCGUUAAGCUUACGGGUGCCUAACAAACCGUUACACAUGCUCGUAGAUGUACGCUCUACAAGACUUCAACUUGCUCGAGGAUACCUCACCUCAAGACUUCACACACUAAGAUUGAAGGUACUUANNNNNNNNNNNNNNNNNNNNNNNNNNNNNNNNNNNNNNNNNNNNNNNNNNNNNNNNNNNNNNNNNNNNNNNNNNNNNNNNNNNNNNNNNNNNNNNNNNNNNNNNNNNNNNNNNNNNNNNNNNNNNNNNNNNNNNNNNNNNNNCGAGAGACUCUCUCGAGUUUACACUAACUCCGUUAAGCUUGCGGGUGCCUAACAAACCGUUACACUUGCUUGUAGAUGUACGCUCUACAAGACUUAACCUUGCUCGUGGAUACCACACCACAAGACUUCCUGCUCAGGGAUACCUCACCUCAAGACUUCACACACUAAGAUUGAAGGUACUUAGCAAACCCAACGCUCAAUGAGAAGAUAUGGUCUUCUCAAGAACCUUUCUCUUUUACAACAAGAACUCUCUAAGAAGAGUAAAUAAAGAGAUACAAUUUAAGCUCUAUGAACAACACAAAGUUGUCUCUCAAAAUGGCUCAACAAAAGCUCUAAAUAUGAUGCACAAAUAUUAUCAAUAUGUUUAUGAAUAAUGAGAGAUGUUGUUGCACCAAAAUAAGCUCUAAAGACCUCUAUUUAUAGGGUGUGGAGGUUAUAUGUCCGUUGCUUCAUAGUCAAUCACUAAUGCUGAUUUUAAGGAAGAAUAAUCGAUUAUUUUAAGUACAUAAUCGAUUAUCUUUUUAAUGUUCAAAAAACUAGUCGUUGGAUGGCAACGGUCAGCAAGAUAAUCGAUUAUCUCAAUUGAAUAAUCGAUUAUUGUGUCAUUCUGGAAUUUCCAGUUUAAGCUGGAAAUUGAACAUAAUCGAUUAUGCAAUUGAAUAAUCGAUUAUUGUGUCAUUCUGGAAUUUCCAGUUUAAGCUGGAAACUCAAGAUAAUCGAUUAUCACAUUUAGAUAAUCGAUUAUCUGGCCAUUCUGUCUAGAAGUGAAAACCAAGUUCAAAAACCAUUUUGGCUAAAAUGAAAACGUUAAAAAUUAUUUUGUUUGAAGUAUAUGAAAAUGUUUAUGAUAUUUAUGGUUUGAUAAAAUGAUUUUAUGCAUAUUAAUGAUGACAUAUGUUGAGCCAAAAGACGAGAUAACUUAAACGUUCCUCUUACAUUGGUUCUACCUAGCGACCUAUGCCUUGUGUCUUCGGUCUUGAACUUUUGAGCUCGUCUUGGCUUUUCCAUGCAAUCCAUUCAUCAAUAUGCUUCUCGGCAUUCAACUACGCCUUGGGUCUUCGGUCUUGAACUUUUGAGCUCGUCUUGGCUUGUCUAUGCAAUCCCUUCACCAAUAUGCUUCUUGGCAUUCAAUCUUCAUUUGUUUGAUUCAUCAUAGUUGAUUUGUCAACCAUCUUGAUCGUUUGCUAAUGCAUCUUCAUUGUUUGUCAUACAAUAUCAUUGUUUGACAGUUGACUUCAUUGUUUGUCAUUCAUCAAAACCUAUACUUGGGAAUCAUGCUAAUACAACCAAAGAACACAUAUCAAAGGUAUCAAUGAUUUCCAACAAACUUAGCAGUAUCUUCUAAUCUUAACUUUUAACAUGUGACACUGUCAAUUUCUACCGUUAAACCAGUGCAGAUAUGCAUUUACUGGGCACUUGACCACCAAAUCAGAUGUUUACAUACGGUGUUGUCCUCCUAGAAUUAUUGACCGGUAGAGUUCCAGUUGAUAUGAAGAGACCUCCUGGUGAAUGUGUUCUUGUUUCUUGGUAAUAUCUGAUAUUAAAGCUACCCUUCAAAUUUCUUAGGUACUAUUUGUGGUCAGCUUCAUGGAUUCUCCACAGUCUGCUUUCUGCCACAAGUUGCAUCGGCUACCAUAAUAUUUUUAUCGUCUUCAAAUGACUGCUGUCAAUUGGAUACACUAUUACAAUGUCUAAAGGGUCUAGUUUUGUGCAUUUUGCUUUGCAAACACUUUAUAAGUAUUUGCCGAUGGUUAAAAUAUAUUCUGCUGGUACAUUUUGCUUUGUAAACACUUUAUAAGCAUUUUUCGCAUGUUGUUGGAGAUGCUCAAGAUAGUAACUCAAUCUGACUCUGGUGUGCAUUUAUGGAGUAUUUGGGACAGGCGGUUGUUGUCCAAUUUCGAUAA
rnacentral:lncRNA from 1 species